AACGUAGGUGGCGAGCGUUAUCCGGAUUUACUGGGCGUAAAGCGUGUGCAGGCGGCUUAUCAAGUGGUGUAUGAAAUAUCCAGGCUCAACCUGGAGGGGUUAUGCCAGACUGGUAGGCUAGAGUGCGAGAGAGGGGCGUGGAAUUCCGGGUGUAGUGGUGAAAUGCGUAGAGAUCCGGAGGAACCCCAGAGGCGAAGGCGGCAUCCUGGACCGGUAUUGACGCUGAGGCGCGAAAGCCAGGGGAGCAAACGGG
rnacentral:rRNA from 1 species